rnacentral:rRNA from 1 species
AACGCAGCGAAGGGCGAUAAGUAAUGUGAAUUGCAGAGUUCAGUGAAUCAUCGAAUCUUUGAACGCACCUUGCGCUCCUUGGUAUUCCGAGGAGCAUGCCUGUUUGAGUGUCAUGAAAUUCUCAACUGCCUUUUAGCAUUUAUGUUAAGGGUGAAGUUGGAGUUGGAGGAUAAUUGCUGGCGCAACUGAGGUUGCUUGUUGGCUCCUCUUGAAUGAAUGAGUUUUUCUGAUGGAUCAUAGCUCAGUAACACUAAUGUGAUAAUUAUCUACGUUAGAUGUGAAGAGGCUCCUACAGAAAAGGUGUAUCUUGGGGAUAACAAACCCUUGACUUUGACAAAUCUGACCUCAAAUCAGGUAGGACUACCCGCUGAACUUAA